GUGCCAGCAGCCGCGGUAAUACGAAGGGGGCUAGCGUUGCUCGGAAUGACUGGGCGUAAAGGGCGCGUAGGCGGUUUGGUUAGUUAGGCGUGAAAUUCCUGGGCUCAACCUGGGGGCUGCGCUUAAUACAGCCAGACUAGAGUGUGAAAGAGGGUCGUGGAAUUCCCAGUGUAGAGGUGAAAUUCGUAGAUAUUGGGAAGAACACCGGUGGCGAAGGCGGCGACCUGGUUCAUUACUGACGCUGAGGCGCGAAAGCGUGGGGAGCAAACAGGAUUAGAUACCCUGGUAGUCC
rnacentral:rRNA from 1 species